CAGUCGCCGCGGUAAUACAGAGGGUGCGAGCGUUAAUCGGAUUUACUGGGCGUAAAGCGUGCGUAGGCGGCUUCUUAAGUCGGAUGUGAAAUCCCUGAGCUUAACUUAGGAAUUGCAUUCGAUACUGGGAAGCUAGAGUAUGGGAGAGGAUGGUAGAAUCCCAGGUGUAGCGGUGAAAUGCGUAGAGAUCUGGAGGAAUACCGAUGGCGAAGGCAGCCAUCUGGCCUAAUACUGACGCUGAGGUACGAAAGCAUGGGGAGCAAACAGGAUUAGAUACCCGUGUAGUCCCUGUCUCUUAUAC
rnacentral:rRNA from 1 species